rnacentral:rRNA from 1 species
AUUGAACGCUGGCGGCAGGCCUAACACAUGCAAGUCGAACGAGUGGCGGACGGGUGAGUAAUGUCUGGGAAACUGCCUGAUGGAGGGGGAUAACUACUGGAAACGGUAGCUAAUACCGCAUACCAUCAGAUGUGCCCAGAUGGGAUUAGCUUGUUGGUGGGGUAACGGCUCACCUAGGCGACGAUCCCUAGCUGGUCUGAGAGGAUGACCAGCCCCACUGGAAAUGAGCCACGGUCCAGACUCCUGAGUGACGCAGCAGUGGGGAAUAUUGGACAAUGGGAGCAAGCCUGAUACAGCCAUGCCGCGUGUAAGAAAAAGGCCUUCGGGUCGUAAAGUUCUUUUGGGGGGGAGACGUUACCCGCAGAAGAAGCACCGGCUAACUCCGUGCCAGCAGCCGCGGUAAUAC